rnacentral:rRNA from 1 species
AAUGAACGCUAGCGGCAGGCUUAAUACAUGCAAGUCGAGGGACAGCACAGGUAGCAAUACUGGGUGGUAACCGGCAAACGGGUGCGGAACACGUACACAACCUUCCUAUAAGUGGGGGAUAGCCCAGAGAAAUUUGGAUUAAUACCCCGUAAUAUAGUUGAAUGGCAUCAUUUGAUUAUUAUAGCUACGGCGCUUAAUGAUGGGUGUGCGGCUGAUUAGAUAGUUGGCGGGGUAACGGCCCACCAAGUCUACGAUCAGUAGCUGAUGUGAGAGCAUGAUCAGCCACACGGGCACUGAGACACGGGCCCGACUCCUACGGGAGGCAGCAGUAAGGAAUAUUGGUCAAUGGACGCAAGUCUGAACCAGCCAUGCCGCGUGAAGGAUUAAGGUCCUCUGGGUUGUAAACUUCUUUUAUUUGGGACGAAAAAGGGCCUUUCUAGGUCAACUGACGGUACCAGAUGAAUAAGCACCGGCUAACUCCGUGCCAGCCGCCGCGGUAACAC